CAGAAUUGCUGUUGUUCUUCUCUUCGAUCUGCUGAUGGAUUUGCAGGUGUUUGCAAUCUUUAGAUAAGCUAUCUAGCUGAUCUCCUGCUAGCUGAUCUAGUCUCAGCUUGCUACUUUUCCGCCAUCUUCUCGCCAAACUUCUUUCUCUUAAAAU